rnacentral:rRNA from 1 species
GGCUCAGGACGAACGCUGGCGGCGUGCCUAAGCUUAUGCAAGUCGAACGCGAACGGCUCCUUCGGGAGCCUAGUAGAGUGGCAAACGGGUGAGUAACGCGUGGGUAACGUACCCUGAUCCUGGGAAUAACCCUCGGAAACGAGGGCUAAUACCGAAUGUGGCGAACGACCGGUUGGUCGCUCGCUAAAGGUGGCCUCUUCUAUGCUGCCGGGUUGGGAUCGGCCCGCGUCCCAUUAGCUAGUUGGUGAGGUAACGGCUCACCAAGGCCACGAUGGGUAGCCGGCCUGAGAGGGUGUACGGCCACACUGGCACUGAGACAAGGCCAGUCCCCUAUGGGAGGCGCAGCGGGAAUAGUUCACAAUGGGCGAAAGCCUGAUGACGCGACGCCGCGUGAGCGAAGAAACUUCGGGUUGUAAGCUCUGUCAGAGGAAAAGCUCUACGGGUCAAUAGCCCGUGGGAUUGACGGUACCUCCAAGAAGCCCCGGUAAAUACGUGCCACAGCCGCGGUAAUACGUAUGGGGCAAGCGUGUCCGGAUUUACUGGGCGUAAGGGCGCGUAGGCGGUUGUAAGUCAAGUGAAUCCUCGGGCUCAACUCGAGAAUGCUUCGAUACUGGCAAACUAAUGGCGGAAGGAAAGCGGAACUCUUGGUGUAACGGUGGAAUGUGUAGAUUCAGAGACACCGGUGGCAAGGCGGUUCUGGACGCACACUGACGCUCAGCGCGAAAGCGUGGGUAGCAAA